GGAUCAGUACGCUGGUCGUGCCUUCGGUAUGUACUGGUGUUACUGGUUCCUACCUUCUGACGAACCGUCAUGUCAUUAAUUUGGUGUGGCGGGGAAUCAGGACUGUUACUUUGAAAAAAUUAGAGUGUUUAAAGCAGGCUCGCGCUUGAAUACAUUAGCAUGGAAUAAUAGAAUAGGACU
rnacentral:rRNA from 1 species